rnacentral:lncRNA from 1 species
UUGAUUACCCUCUUUGGAACCCGGAAGUGCUAUUGAAAAAAAAAGAAGGAAAAGGAAAAGAAGAGAAAAAAAAAAGAAAAGAAAAAGGAAGAAGAAAAAAAAGGGAAAGAAAAAAAGAAAAGAAACAGAAAAGAAAAGAAAGUGAAAAAGAAAAGAAAAAAAGAAAAGAAAAGAAAAGAAAAGAAAAACAAAACCGAAACAGAAAAAAAUAAAAUUAUUUUCCUGAACUACGUCUGACUUGAUUCCGAAAUGAUACGUAGGCAGCCUAUUUCCGUGGUUCAGUCACACUAAAACAAAAAUCCAAAGUUCCCAAAAAGUGAAUCUGAGGAAGAUGAUAUAAUGGUUCGGCCAUGAAGUAUCCGAAAUGGUUCCAGAGCCAAGUCCUUCUGAUCAGUUGGCAAAGACAGAAAAAUAAAUAUGCUAUUGAUGGAAUCUGAUACAAGUCAAAUUGAGAGAAAUAAAAUGAGAGAGUCUUAUCGGUGAAAACCUUCGGGCACCAUAAGGCG